rnacentral:lncRNA from 1 species
ACUUUUGAAAAGAUAAAGGUCCAAAAGUGCAAUUAAGCCUUUAUUUUAUUAACCACUAAUAUGCAAGUUAGUAACCACUUAUUUAACAGUGUUACAAAACGACUGGAGUAUAUAAAUAACUCAUUACCUACCUAGAGUACUUCAUUAACCACCAAAAUACAAAUCAUUGACCACUAAAAUGAAGUAUUCUAAGUUGUUAAUAACUUAUGUUAUAGUGGUUAAUGAAGCACUCUAAAUGGUUAAUGAAAAAUCAAUAUAUUUUAUCAUCUUAUAACUAUGUUAAAUAAGAGGUUAGCAUUUACAUUUUAUUGGUUGAUGAAGUAAUCUAUGCGAUUAAUGAGAUGUAUUUUUUUUUUUUAGAUAGACGAAAUGGUAAAGUCAUUAUAAACUCACGAGAUGUAUGUUAAAUAGGCAGUUAAUGACUUAUAUUUUAGUGUUUAAUAAAAUAUCUAGGAGGUAAAUGAGAUAACUCCAUAUUUGUGUAACAAAAACAUCUCUCUAUGAUUAUCUAAAAAUAGUUUUUUUUUUAUUUUAUUUUGCUAAAUAAAAGAGUGAAUUGUGCUGCUAAAAUUACGAACACUUAAACAAAUAAAUAUUCAAAGCAAGAAUGACAUAUCUGAUGCUACC